AAGUGCAAGAAUUUGAAUGUGGUUAAAAUGAUAUGAUUCUGGAGAACAUCCUCUCAUGAAUGUGUAUGUUUAACAUUAUAAGAACAGUGGGACAAGUUGAACUCCUAAGACAAUGUAAAAGGUGCAGCAGAGGAAUUCUCCUGUGGUCUCUGGGAAAUCGAUCACUGCUAAUUCACAGUCUUUAGUUUGAAAUCUACAGGAACCAUGAAGUUUGGAGACAUCAUUUCAUUCUCUCGUAUUGGGUACCCACACCAGGUGGUUUACACUGGGAAAAAUGACAAAGGACAAGAUAUGGUUGUCCAUUUUUCAGACGCUUUUAUCCAAGGCAACUUACAGAGACUAGGGUGUGUGAACUAUGCAUCAGCUGCAGAGUCACUUACAAUUACGUCUCACCCGAAAGACGGAGCACAAGGAGGUUAAGGGUCACACAAUGAGUCAGUGGCUGAACCGGGAUGUGAACUGGGGACCUUCUGGUUACAAGCUCUUUUCUUUAACCACUGAACCACACAGCCUCCUACCAGAUUUUAUGAAAAGUAUCUCAGACUACAAGAGCUUUUUAACAGAACUGAAAAGAUGAUUAAAACAGGACCAGCUUUGUGACCACGUCUAGACUCCCUCCAUUUGUUGAUUUUCUUUUAUUGUAUUUUAUUGUUAUUUUAGUAUUUUUAAUUGUAUUGUAUUGUUGUUAUUGGCAUUGUUUGUAUAUUUAGUUGUUAGUCUGUGGGACUACCAAUGCAAAUUAGCUGUGACUAACUUGGGUGUGAUGCAUCGCAUGUUUAAUCAUGAAUGUUUAUUGCACAUGGUCCCAAAUCAAAUUAAUAAAUAAAUAAUAAUAAUAAAAAAAUUCUCAAUCUAAAGCCAAGAAGGUAAUGAGUCAGCCUGG